AGACAUGCAAGUCGAACGCUAAUUAGAGGGUAGCAAUAUUCUCUAGUUGGAGUGGCGCAAGGGUGCGUAACACGUGGGUAAUCUGCCAUGAAGACUGGGAUAACUCGCUGAAAGGCGAGCUAAUACCGGGUAAGACUGUUGGGAGGCAUCUCCUGGCAUUGGAAGCUGGGGACCCGAAAGGGCCUGGCGCUUCAUGAUGAGCCCGCGGCCUAUCAGCUAGUUGGUAAGGUAACGGCUUACCAAGGCUAAGACGGGUAGCUGGUCUGAGAGGACGACCAGCCACACUGGAACUGAGACACGGUCCAGACACCUACGGGUGGCAGCAGUCGAGAAUUUUUCACAAUGGGCGCAAGCCUGAUGGAGCGACGCCGCGUGGGGGAUGAAGGGUUUCGAUCCGUAAACCCCUGUCAUUUGCGAACAAACCUUGAUGAAUAACACUUAUCAAGCUGAUUGUAGCGGAAGAGGAAGGGACGGCUAACUCUGUGCCAGCAGCCGCGGUAAUACAAAGGUCCCAAGCGUUGUUCGGAUUCACUGGGCGUAAAGGGUGCGUAGGUGGCCAGGUAAGUUUGGUGUGAAAGCUCGGAGCUUAACUCCGAAAAGUCAUUGAAUACUAUCUGGCUGGAGGGUCGGAAGGGAGACUGGAAUUCUCGGUGUAGCAGUGAAAUGCGUAGAUAUCGAGAGGAACACCAGUGGCGAAGGCGAGUCUCUGGACGACACCUGACACUGAGGCACGAAAGCUAGGGGAGCAAACAGGAUUAGAUACCCUGGUAGUCCUAGCUGUAAACGGUGCACGUUUGCUGUAAGAGGAAUCGACCCCUUUUGUGGCGAAGCUAACGCGCUAAACGUGCCGCCUGGGGAGUACGGUC
rnacentral:rRNA from 1 species